UGCUCAAAAAACCAGCAUGUCUAUAUCGAUUCUUAUCGAUUAUCGACGGACGGACGACCAACGGAUAGGCAGACAGAUAGACAGUCAGAUGGACAUGAUGUCAGCAUCAUGCUGCUGCCUGUUGCAUACAUUUGCAUUUGGACCAAAUACAAUAUACCCUUAUAUACAUUUUUAACGUAUUCGGGUUUCCUUGUGGUAUAUUGUGUCCAAUAUGUUAAGUUUUCUUGGCAAUAGCCCCUUGAACUCAAUUAAUAGUUGGCUUUGAAUUACCUUAACUUCAUGGUUGCUUUUGCUGGCGGUACCCCAAAGAUGGAUGCCUUAAAAUGCUUGACGCGAAUCUUCAAUUUGGACUGCCUGCCGAUCAGCCAGUAUAAUUUUUCACCGUUUUUUCUGCCUAUGUGUCCUUUUGCGCAAAAUAUGUUCACGCCAUGUCAGCCGUCUCUCGAGUGUGACACCUAGAUAAUUGGGCGUUGUGCUUACAUUAAUCUGUAUUCCGUCUAGGAAAACUAGAGGACAGUUUCAUUUACGCAGCGUAAAAGUGGUAUGAGUGGUGUA